rnacentral:lncRNA from 1 species
ACUUCCUAAGUCAUAUUCAUUUGCUUUGGCCAAAGACUUUAGAAUCAUAUCUUAGAGUAUUCUCUUUCCACCAUGGAAGGUUAGAGAUCCCUUGUUGUGCAUUCAUAUGCCUACAUGACUAGAUAGCUUGACCCCAACAAUGCCGUGGACACUCUGAGGGAAUGUCGUUGACAUGAUUAAAGAUCAAGGACCUAACCAUUAGACAUCUAUGAUGCCUCAGGUCAAAGGACUACUUUGCAUAUUGCAACUUUAGAGUUCAUACAUGACAUGUAUGUUCGAACUCUCUUUUGGUCGUAGUUCAGUGUACUCGAUUACUCUUUCGAGCACCUAUGUGUUUGUCUUAGUGUCCAACACCAAAUGACUUGAGACUAGUCAUACUCACGCUUGAGUCAACAUAACACAUACUAACCUUAGCGGAUUGUCAAUGCCCAAUUGGCAAUUCUAUGGCUAGGAACGUUUUAGGAAUGAACAUAAGAGAAUGGUCUCGAUAAUCUAACUCACUUAGAUCAUUUGUCUCUUAGAUCAAAUACAUCCCUUGGAUUCCCUUAUUACUUAAACACAUGAUACAAUAAAUAGUGAUUAACAAUAAGCUUUGCCCUCCAUUAAACAUAUAAAAGUUUAAUACAUUAAGUAUUCCAAAAAGCUAUUACAUCAAAUGAGUGGCUUUGUGGGCAUACUUCCAACAAGGGUGAAGCCGGUGCAUGAGUCAUAAACGCUUGGAGCCCACCACGGUGGAAGGCCUACGAAGAGAUAUUCUAAACAUCUCUCGCUUAUCAACUUAAUAUUUGUUUUGAGGGAGUAGUGUUGGGCUACAUCAAAAUCAUUUUAAUCUUAUUAAAAGAACUUGGGCCUAUCACAACCAUUGGUCCAAGUUUAAUAUGAAUUAGUAGUUUAUAAUACUCCCACUAUUUCGAAGAAAUAAGUGAGACUAUAUGGAACUACUAACGAAUGCAUUGCAUCCUCAUAUGGAUUAUAUAGUCAUAUUAGGUUUUAGGAUGAUUAUGAACCGUUUGAUUUGAUCCAACACGAGCCUUGUGUUGGACCUUGGGUUUAAGGUAGAUAGUUGUUGAUUUUAGUUACGCGUUUAAUCCAAUUAAACCGUUAUUUCCUAUUGGGCGUUGGACCCAACUAUUCCAAUUUGCAUACAUAUAAACAAAAGGAAUACAUGAAAUAAUAAUAAGGGCUUAUGCCCUUUUACAACACAAAUGAUGGACUUAUGUCCAUUUACAACAAAUUGAAUUAAUCAAAUUACAUUCAAAUCUCAUCUACUUAACCCAAACAUUCAUAAUGUAAAUCGGCCAAUCACAUAGCUCAAUUAUCGAGGCCUUUGGUUCAUAAUCACCCUUUUUCUUAAUCAAUCACAUUAACUAAGAAAACAACUUUAAACAAUUGGUUUUUGGAUCCAUAGAAUUGAUUUAAAUGGAACUAAAUGAAAUGAAAAUCCAAUUCUCAUUUAGGAGACAAAACCAUUUUGUUCUCAUCUUAUUUGGGCCAUAAGGAAACUAUGACCACAACAAUUGGGCCACAAUGCAAAUACAAAAACUUUUGGGGUCACUUUGUAAAAACACAAAAGUCCACAACUUCAUGUAAUUACAACUAGAACCCAAAAUUUUAAUAAUGUAAAAACAUCAUUAAAGGAUCAAAACAAUUUGUCCUUUAGAAUUUUUGGGCCUUAACGUAAAAACGUAAACUUUUGGGCCAAAAUGCAAAUACACAAAAGUAUCAAAACUUUAUGUAAUUGCACAAAGGCCCCAAAAGUACCCCCACUAGGGGGUGGCCGGCCAUUUGAGAAGAAAUGAAAAAUUUUCUAAAAAGUUUUUGCAAGUCGAUUUUGGUGGGUGAGGAAAAGGUGAAAUUGAUGGUUUGUAAGAAAAUGUUUUGUAAAACAUUAAAGAGUUUUGUCAAACAUUAAAGCCAAUAUUAAUGCUUCACCAAUAACCAUCACCCAUCAAAAUUAAACCAAAACUUUAUGAAAAACAUAAAACUUUUGAAUCAAAACUUCAAAACUUUUUGUUCUUGGCAAGAACUUCAAGAACAUUGAAGAACACUCAUGAAAACUCAUAAUAGCUCAAUGAAUGUUUUCACUCACCAAAACUCAAUUUUUCACCACUCAAAAGAGGGCUAAUAUCCUAGGGUACUUAGGGGUUCCAAAAGUCACUUUAAAACCAUUUUAACAAGACAAACAUGAACCCAAAAAAUCACCCUUUGGAUUUGGCCGAAUUUCCCAACAUACAUGGCACCAAAUUUUAGUUCCAAUAUUCAUGCUUAAAUGAAAUACAUCUACAACAUUUGAGAUGCUAAAUUUUCAAGCAAAAUUUAUAUUCAAAAGCAAGAACAAAGCUUGUAACAUUUACAACAUUUAAAUCACAUAUUAUGAUAAUCACAAAACCCAAAAGGAUUCACCAUAAACUAGGCCUAGGCUCUGAUACCACUUGAAGGAAAAAUUUUGUCCUAGCUAAGAACAUGUAAGAACAUUUGAAUACAUAUGCAAACUAUUAACACUUUAAAGUAGGCAUGCAUUAAAAAACAAUUCAUAAAACCCAUGACUUUCAAAGCCUAGUAUAUGGUGAACCAAAAGACUCUUUAACAACAUUAAAGAGAAGUAAAGAUUUAGAGUUUCUUUACCCUUGAAGCUCAUCCUUGUUUACACAAGGGAUUCACCCAAGUGGAGGGCCUUCAAGUCACCUCCUAGCUCCUUGGAUAUUGCUUGUGAUUUCCUUCUCCUUUUGUGCUCCUUUGGACUUUGUGGAUGUAAGGAAAGGAUCUCUAAAACACCAAAAGUUUGGUGUCUCUAAGUCUCCACACCAAGGGUUAAGUGUGAAGAUGAAAUGGAUGACUUAGGGAAGAAGAGAUUGCUAGAUUAAUCUCCCUAAGUGGCCGGCCUCUUUGUAGAGAGAAAGAGAGAAAAAGUUUCACCUCUUUGCCUCAAAGAAAACCCUUUUAUGAGAAAAUAGCUAUAAAGUUGCUUUUAUAACACUUUUCUUUGGUGAGUGGCAAACUUGCAAUUAAGCAAACUUUCACCAUCUCCUCACUAUGGCCGGCCUAUAUGUUGUGAUUGGGCUUAUUGCCCAUUUUGUUUUAGUUGUCAUACAACUUAAACAUAAUGGGCCUUAUGGACCAAAACACUUUUGGGCCCCGAAACCCAAAACCAACUUAAAAGCCCAAUACGAACCUUUCGUAUAAUUAAUUAACUAAUUAAUUAAUCUUGACCAUUCUUCAAUUAAACCAUUUAAUUGCAUAUCCAUUUCAUUUAAUUUCUUCACUAUCGCCCUUACUCGGUGUACGAUCCAUUAGGUUCCAAUUAGCGAGGUAGUGGGCGAUUGUUACUCUUAACGAUCGAUUGUGAAUUGAAACCACAUUUCAAUUUUCCCUUUAUGAUUAGUGUUUGCUAGUCAUUAGGGCUUCCACAAACCAUGAGUGACACCUAGCAGUAUGUCAUGGUUACCCAAGCUAAGUAGAAUUGGUUGGAGAACCUAUCUAGUUACAACUACAAUGCAAUACGGUCAUUCUCUAAUACAAUACUCUUAAUCACAUUGUUUAAGUGAUAGUUUGUUUCAUGUCUACUAUCCAAUGUGAUACUUUUCUAUAUGAUUCCUUUGAAUAUGAAUUGGAACAAACUUCCUAAGUCAUAUUCAUUUGCUUUGGCCAAAGACUUACGAAUCAUAUCUUAGAGUAUUCUUCUUCUACCAUGGAAGGUUAGAGAUCCCUUGUUGUGCAUUCAUAUGCCUACAUGACUAGAUAGCUUGACCCCAACAAUGCCGUGGACACUCCAAUGGAAUGCCGUUGACAUGAUCAAAGAUCAAGGACCUAACCAUUAGACAUCUAUGAUGCCUCAGGUCAAAGGACUACUUUGC